rnacentral:lncRNA from 1 species
AGGGUCAGGUUUAGGAUCAGGGUUAGGGUUAGGCUCCUCUGAUGUCCUCAGCCACCCCCCUCCUCCACAGAGAGUGUGACCCCUCAUUCCUCUGAAAUCACAGAAGCAGAAGCUCUCAAAUUACAAAUGUUCCUUUACAUUUGUAACCAAUUUUUUUUUUCCAUUUCAGCUGCAGAAACCACCCCGGUGCCCUCCAACACCACCUCCACCUCCAGCAGCACUCCCAACUCGGUGGGCAGGGCUCGGGGCAGCUCCUGCCUGCUGGCUGCCCUGCUGCUGCUGCUGCCCACAGCCAGCCUGCUCUCCUAGAGGGGCCCCAGCUCUGCUGCCCCUUCCCCUGCUCAGGAACACGGGGCUGAGCUGAUUUACUCAGGAAAACUCUUCCUUGCUCUGAGAAAUGUGAGAGAAAUGCACCUGCACGGGAAAUGAGAACAGUGAUCCUCCCCUGCUGCCCUCGCCCACGAGCUCAGCAAAAGGAAAUUUCCCCAGCAGAGACCCCUCUGCCCUGGCUGUGCUUUUGUGACCCAAAAAUGGGUGAGCAGAGCCCAAGGAACACGGGACAUUCAUGAAUCCAUGAUUUCCUCAUGGCCUGAAGGCAUCCUGUGAAGCACAAAACGCCUGAAGGGAGGAGAACUCUUCUUCUUUGUCGUCGUCUUCUUCUUCUUUGUCUUCUUCUCCUUCUUCGUUUUCUCCUUCUCCUUCUUCUUCUUCUCCUUCUUCUAUUUCUUCUUCAUCCUCGUCUUCUUCUUUUUCUUCUUCUUCUUCUUCUUCUUCUUCUUCUUCUUCUUCUUCUUCUUCUUCUUCUUCAUCUUCGUCUUCUUCUUCUUCAUCUUUGUCUUCCUCCUCUUCCUCCUCUUCCUCCUCCUCUUCCAAGAAGCUCCAGGAGGGCUCUGCCUUUGCCUCCUCUUCCUCCUCUUCCUCCUCUUUCCGUCCAUCCCCUCCUGGCACAGCCCUGGCUGUCGGGGAGCGGAGCUGAGCCUGGGGAGGGAAAUCCAGCCCGAAACCCCCAAACCCCCAGGCUGAGCCCAGCACCGGCUGCAGAGCCCCCACACCCAGCCCAGGAAUUUCUGCUCCAAAACCUGAAUUUCAUUCUUCCAGCAGAUGAUUCUCUUUGUUCUCCCUCUGGUUUUCCCCCUGGAAAGGCAAGGUGGGCAUUUUGUGUUCCUCUUUUAUUUUUUUAAUCAACAGCUGAUUUUACUGCAAGGCAAGAUUAUUGUGUGGGCCAAUGGAUGUCUUGAUUUUAUUGUUGUUUGUAUUUUUAUAUGGGAAAAGCGUGUAUUUAGAAAUUUUUCAAAUUGUGGAAAGCAAUUUUUUUUUCAUUAAACAAAUCUAAAUAAAAUAAGGAAUCAAAAUUGGUUCUUGCA